AUACCUCAGCUUUUGAUGGAGAGACGAAGCUACAGCACUUGCCCCAUGAAUCCAAGGGCGUCCCAGCAAGCAGGAAUAGGCAGGACGAAUGUUCAUUAUGUGAAAGAUAGUGUUGAAGACUUGAGGUCCUAUCUUGAUAGGGAGGACCACUUCACCGUGGACAACGCUCUUCGCACCAUCGUAAGCACGCACCACAGCGUCACUAGGUUUCA
rnacentral:lncRNA from 1 species